rnacentral:rRNA from 1 species
AAGUGACGCUAACUACGUGCCAGCAGCCGCGGUAAUACGUAGGUCACAAGCGUUGUCCGGAUUUAUUGGCGUAAAGGGAGCGCAGGCGGUUUGUUAAGUCUGAUGUGAAAGCCCACGGCUCAACCGGGAACGGCAUUGGAAACUGGCAAACUUGAGUAUAGAAGAGGAAAGUGGAAUUCCAUGUGAGCGGUGAAAUGCGUAGAUAUAUGGAGGAACACCAGUGGCGAAGGCGACUUUCUGGUCUUAACUGACGCUGAGGCUCGAAAGCGUGGGGAGCGAACAGGAUUAGAUACCCUGGUAGUCACGCCGUAAACGAUGAGUGUUAAGUGUUGGGGGGCUUCCACCCCUCAGUGCUGGCGUUACGCAAUAAACACUCCGCCUGGGGAGUACGACCGCAAGGUUGAAACUCAAAGGAAUUGACGGGACCCGCACAAGCGGUGGAGCAUGUGGUUUAAUUCGAAGCAACGCGAAGAACCUUACAGGUCUUGACAUCUCUUGCAUAGCCUAGAGAUAGGUGAAACCCUUCGGGGCAAGAAGACGGUGGUGCAUGGUUGUCGUCAGCUCGUGUCGUGAGAUGUUGGGUUAAGUCCCGUAACGACGCAACCCUUAUCAUUAGUUGCCAGCAUUCAGUUGGGGACUCUAAUGAGACUGCCGGUGCAAACCGGAGGAAGGUGGGGAUGACGUCAAAUCAUCAUGCCCCUUAUGACCUGGGCUACCACGUGCUACAAUGGAUGGUACAGCGAGCAGCAACCCCGCGAGGGCAAGCGAAUCUCUCAAGCCAUUCUCAGUUCGGAUCGUUCUCUGCAACUCGAGAGCGUGAAGCCGGAAUCGCUAUAAUCGUGGAUCAGCACGCCACGGUGAAUACGUUCCCGGGUCUUGCACACACCGCCCGU